rnacentral:rRNA from 2 species
UGGGGAAUUUUGGACAAUGGGCGAAAGCCUGAUCCAGCAAUGCCGCGUGCAGGAUGAAGGCCUUCGGGUUGUAAACUGCUUUUGUACGGAACGAAAAAGCUUCUCCUAAUACGAGAGGCCCAUGACGGUACCGUAAGAAUAAGCACCGGCUAACUACGUGCCAGCAGCCGCGGUAAUACGUAGGGUGCGAGCGUUAAUCGGAAUUACUGGGCGUAAAGCGUGCGCAGGCGGUUAUGUAAGACAGAUGUGAAAUCCCCGGGCUCAACCUGGGAACUGCAUUUGUGACUGCAUGGCUAGAGUACGGUAGAGGGGGAUGGAAUUCCGCGUGUAGCAGUGAAAUGCGUAGAUAUGCGGAGGAACACCGAUGGCGAAGGCAAUCCCCUGGACCUGUACUGACGCUCAUGCACGAAAGCGUGGGGAGCAAACAGG